UACGUAGGGCGCAAGCGUUGUCCGGAAUUAUUGGGCGUAAAGAGCUCGUAGGCGGCCUGUUGCGUCCGCUGUGAAAUCCCGGGGCUCAACCCCGGGCCUGCAGUGGAUACGGGCUGGCUAGAGGCAGGCAGGGGAGAACGGAAUUCCUGGUGUAGCGGUGAAAUGCGCAGAUAUCAGGAGGAACACCGGUGGCGAAGGCGGAUCUCUGGGCCAUUACUGACGCUGAGGAGCGAAAGCGUGGGGAGCGAACAGG
rnacentral:rRNA from 1 species